AUAUAUUUGUAUCGUUGCGGCGCCAAAAGGCUUAAUCGGGAAGCUGGUGAAAUGCCGGCACGCCCCCAGGCACUGUAAGGAAGCGUUUAACUUAGUCCGAAAGCCACUGCGUGAGCGGGAAGGCCGCGGACCUCGAAGAGGAUGCUUCCGAGUCAGGAGACCGACCGCGCGGCCACGUCGUAGA
rnacentral:ncRNA from 1 species